AGUGAACGCUGGCGGCGUGCCUAACACAUGCAAGUCGAACGAUGAUUGGGGAGCUUGCUCUUCCUGAUUAGUGGCGCACGGGUGAGUAUACCAUAGAUAAUGUACCUCUUAGUUCGGGAUAGCCACUGGAAACGGUGAUUAAUACUGGAUACUCCUUCUUGUCCUAAGGCAAGUCGGGUAAGUUUUUUCGCUAAGAGAUCAGUCUAUGUCCUAUCAGCUAGUUGGUGAGGUAAUGGCUCACCACGGCAAUGACGGGUAUCUGGUUUGAGAGGAUGAUCAGACACACUGGAACUGAGACACGGUCCAGACUCCUACGGGAGGCAGCAGUGAGGAAUAUUGCACAAUGGAGGGAACUCUGAUGCAGCAACGCCGCGUGGAGGAUGACGCAUUUCGGUGUGUAAACUCCUUUUAAGAGGGAAGAUAAUGACGGUACCUCUUGAAUAAGCACCGGCUAACUCCGUGCCAGCCGCCGCGGUAAGAC
rnacentral:rRNA from 1 species